CUUUUGUAGUUUAUUGCAAAGCUGGAACUGUAUGCAGCAUUCUUAAGCACUUUACGCGUAUGAUGCAUAUUUGCAACUGCGAGUGGAAAAUAAAUCUGUAGCUGGUAGGAAUAACAAGAGAUUGUAGCAGCAAUGAAAAUAAAAGAAGACCUCAGGUUAUGGACUCAGAACACAGGCCA